AUUGAACGCUGGCGGCAGGCCUAACACAUGCAAGUCGAACGAGUGGCGGACGGGUGAGUAAUGUAUGGGAAACUGCACGGUGGAGGGGGAUAACCACUGGAAACAGUAGCUAAUACCGCAUACUAUCGGAUGUGCCCAGAUGGGAUUAGCUCGUAGGGGGGGUAACGGCUAACCUAGGCGACGAUCACUAGCUGGUCUGAGAGGAUGACCAGCCACACUGGUAAUGAGACACAGUCCAGACUCCUACGAGAGGCAGCAGUGGGGAAUAUUGCACAAUGGGCGCAAGCCUGAUGCAGCCGUGCCGCGUGUAUGACGAAGGCCUUCGGGUUGUAAAGGACUGUCGGCGUGGAGGCGUUACUCGCAGAAGAAGCACCGGCUAACUCCGUGCCAGCAGCCGCGGUAAUUC
rnacentral:rRNA from 1 species